rnacentral:rRNA from 1 species
GUGGGGAAUAUUGGACAAUGGGGGGAACCCUGAUCCAGCCAUGCCGCGUGUGUGAAGAAGGCCUUUUGGUUGUAAAGCACUUUAAGCGAGGAGGCGGCUACCGAGAUUAAUACUCUUGGAUAGUGGACGUUACUCGCAGAAUAAGCACCGGCUAACUCUGUGCCAGCAGCCGCGGUAAUACAGAGGGUGCAAGCGUUAAUCGGAUUUACUGGGCGUAAAGCGCGCGUAGGUGGCCAAUUAAGUCAAAUGUGAAAUCCCCGAGCUUAACUUGGGAAUUGCAGUCGAUACUGGUUGGCUAGAGUAUGGGAGAGGAUGGUAGAAUUCCAGGUGUAGCGGUGAAAUGCGUAGAGAUCUGGAGGAAUACCGAUGGCGAAGGCAGCCAUCUGGCCUAAUACUGACACUGAGGUGCGAAAGCAUGGGGAGCAAACAGGAUUAGAUACCCCGGUAGUCC